CAACUUUCAGCAACGGAUCUCUUGGCUCUCGCAUCGAUGAAGAACGCAGCGAAUUGCGAUAUGUAAUGUGAAUUGCAGAUCUACAGUGAAUCAUCAAAUCUUUGAACGCACAUUGCGCUCCUCGGUGUUCCGAGGAGCAUGCCUGUUUGAGUGUCAGUAAAUUCU
rnacentral:rRNA from 1 species